rnacentral:antisense_RNA from 1 species
CUUGACCGAGCCCAGCCACAGCGGCUCGGCGCGGUCCUGGCCGUAGGCGGCGAGCACGGCCUGGGCCUC